AAAUGACUUGAUCUCUUUAUAGUGUAUAGUAAAGUUCAUGGUCUUAUAGAAAUAAUUAAAUAGUUUAAGCAUUAUAAAAUUUUAAAAGCUCUUCAGAAUUUUAAAAUUAUUACUAAAUAUCUCUUAAAUAUAUCAAUCUGUUAUUUUUGUUCAUUUAGCACACAUAGAAGGACUUCAUGUGAUAUAAAUAAUAAUCAAUAUAAUUGAAUACAAUUUUACAAACUUUAGAUUACUUUUUCUAUAAAUAAUUGUAUUAUUUUUUUAAACUUUCGUGAGGGUAAAGGGGAAAACAAUUAUGCCAUCGUAAAGUUAUGUACGAAUAUAAAUCACAAUUAAAUAUUUAUGAACAAGUAGAAUGUAUGUUAUGUUAAUUACUAAUGAAGUUAUUGACGCCUCACAUAAUACGACCAAGUAGAGCUUAAAAGAGCCACCUAUUGAAGGAAUAUUGCCUCAACACAUGAAAAAAAAAUAUGUUAUAAAAAGUUUUUCAUAUACUCUUAUGAAUGCCCAAAUGAAUUAUAAAGAAGUUUUUUAGCAAUCACAAACAUACUCCACCUUGUUGUAAGCAAAUUGAUAACCGGUAAAUAACUUGGUUACCAUGUUGCGCUUAACUCUUAUAUUGGACAAGUAAUUGAGUGAUUGCAUUGCCUUUAACAUCUAAUCUGUGUUUAUUUUAGGAUUUUAUGGUUUUAAGUGUGUUUAGUGUAACACCCCGUUUUCCCAACAUAAAAAUUUCACAUAAAUAAUCAUAGUAAUCCACAUAAACGGAAUGUCACACUUCUUUUCUUAAAAUCAUAAACGGAAUAAUUAAGUAAUUUUCCUUCAAAUUCAACAACAUAAUAUUUAAUACUUCCCAGCAGAAUUUAUUCAACAUCUAAAACAGUCUUUGGCUCGAAGACCUCAUAAUAAACAUCUCAUAAAAAUCCAAUCUAAAGACUUAUUCAUGAAAACUCAUAAGGUAAUACGUAACGAAUAGAAAAGCAAUAACAAAGUUCACAUCCCGUUACGUCUCAGAGCACCUAAGACACACAUGAGAGAUAUUCAAUUACUGUAAUGGCCUUUGAUAAUGAUGUUGUUGUAAUAUAUUGAGUUUCUUUUUAGUUUAAGCAUAUUCCUUGGGAAUGUCCCCCAUAUUAUAUCUGACUAAAGUUGAUAGGUUCAUGUUAUUUAUUUACAUUAUU
rnacentral:lncRNA from 1 species